rnacentral:rRNA from 1 species
GACAGAGGGGGCGAGCAUUAUCUUUGAUAACUGGGCAUAAAGGAUGCGUAGGUGGAUAUUAAUAAAACAGCUUGAUGGAAAUGUUUACGUAUUGACGUAAAUCUUAUCUUGCAUUGUUUAUCUAGAGAUAUAAAUAAGUUUGUGGAAGGCGAUAUGGAAUAGGGCAUUUGUCUUUUAAUAUAUUGAGUAAUAUCAAAAAGCGAAAGU